rnacentral:rRNA from 1 species
CAGCCGCCGGGGAACACGUAGGUGGCAAGCGUUGUCCGGAAUUAUUGGGCGUAAAGCGCGCGCAGGUGGUUUAAUAGGUCUGAUGUGAAAGCCCACGGCUCAACCGUGGAGGGUCAUUGGAAACUGAUAAACUUGAGUGCAGGAGAGAAAAGAGGAAUUCCUAGUGUAGCGGUGAAAUGCGUAGAGAUUAGGAGGAACACCAGUGGCGAAGGCGGCUUUUUGGCCUGUAACUGACACUGAGGCGCGAAAGCGUGGGGAGCAAACAGGAUUAGAUACCCCCGUAGUCCCUGUCUCUUAUACA